rnacentral:tRNA from 1 species
GCGCCGGUGGUGUGACGGUAGCAUCCUGCCCGGAAAGCAGAAGGUGCGGGUUCCAGUCCGGCUUGGUGCA